UCCCUUAGAUGUUCUGGGCCGCACGCGCGCUACACUGUCGGAUUCAGCGAGUCUUAACCUUAACCGAAAGGUUUGGGUAAUCUUUUGAAAGUCCGACGUGAUGGGGAUUGAUCAUUGCAAUUAUUGAUCAUGAACGAGGAAUUCCUAGUAAGCGCGAGUCAUCAGCUCGCGUUGAUUACGUCCCUGCCCUUUGUACACACCGCCCGUCGCUACUACCGAUUGAAUGGUUUAGUGAGAUCUUCGGAUUGGCGCCAUCGUGGCUUCGCGGCCAUGACGGAUGGCCGAAAAGUUGAUCAAACUUGAUCAUUUAGAGGAAGUAAAAGUCGUAACA
rnacentral:rRNA from 1 species